UGAAUGGUAUUUUGGUUCUGUCCCAUCAGUAUUUUACCAAUGAUUUCUUUGAUUUUCAGAUUGAGCAUUAAGAUCCAGUUGCAUCUGAUGCAUUCCAUGAAUGGUAACCGCCAAUGAUUCAGAUUAAGUCUCCAUUUGGAACUGGGAACACCGCCAAUGCUGAUCUGCUCUCUGCUCGCCCAGUCUUCGUCACUGCCUUUAUAAGAUAAUUUUGGAGAUGUGAAUGAAGAUUGAGAUAUUUAUCAUGAUAGUUUAUUGGCAAAGAUAGAGUGUUCGAAAUUGAAAGAUGUAUGGUUGAUGAUGAUGUCUUUUAUUAGAAGAUACAUUUAUAUGAUAUAAUAUUUUGGUCAUUCCUAGUUUAGUAGUAGUAAACUCUAAGUACAUUAUAUGAGUAUGCUUAUUCUAGUUUGAGAUAUAUGAAUACUCGAAAUUAUGAUUAUCCCAAUAUUUUUGGUUC